GACGAACGCUGGCGGCGUGCUUAACACAUGCAAGUCGAACGGAAAGACCCUGCUUUUGUGGGGUGCUCGGGUGGCGAACGGGUGAGUAACACGAGAGUAACCUGCCCUUGACUUUGGGAUAACUUCAGGAAACUGGGGCUUAUACCGGAUAGGAGAUCCUGCUGCAUGGUGGGGGUUGGAAAGGUUCGGCGGUUGGGGAUGGACUCGCGGGUUAUCAGCUUGUUGGGGGGGUAGUGGCUUACCAAGGCUUUGACGGGUAGCCGGCCUGAGAGGGUGACCGGCCCCACUGGGACUGAUAUACGGCCCAGACUCCUACGGGAGGCAGCAGUGGGGAAUAUUGCACAAUGGGCGGAAGCCGGAUGCAGCGACGCCGCGUGCGGGAUGACGGCCUUCGGGUUGUAAACCGCUUUCGCCUGUGACGAAGCGUGAUUGACGGUAAUUGGUAAAGAAGCACCGGCUAACUACGUG
rnacentral:rRNA from 1 species